GUAUCAAGCCACCAAUGGAGGCUCUGUCUCAACAUAACCUGCCUACAGCAGAAGAUAACCUGGAAUAUGUACGGACUCUGUAUGAUUUUCCUGGAAAUGAUGCGAACCUGCCGUUUAAAAAGGGUGAGAUCCUAAAGUGAUAAUAGAGAAGCCUGAAGAACAGUGGUGGGUACGGAACAAGGAUGGCCGGGUUGGGAUGAUUCCUGUCCCUUAUGUUGAAAAGCUUGUGAGAUCCUCACCACACGGAAAGCAUGGAAAUAGGAAUUCCAACAGUUAUGGGAUCCCAGAACCUGCUCAUGCACAUCGCUCAACCUCCCAGACCACAACUCCUCUACCUGCAGUUUCCGGUUCUCCUGGGCAGCAGUCACCUGCCAUCCACACAGAAUGGACCUGUCUUUGUAAGCAAUCCAGAAAAAGAGUACCCUGUGCUUAUGACAAGACUGCCUUGGCAUUAGAGGUUGGUGACAUUGUGAAAGUCACAAGGAUGAAUAUAAAUGGCCAGUGGGAAGGCGAGGUGAAUGGGCGCAAAGGGCUUUUUCCCUUUACGCAUGUCAAAAUCUUUGACCCUCAAAACCCAGAUGAAAACGAGUGAUUGCCGUUGCCCCGUUUCCUGCUGCUUUGUUGUUCUGCCUGUCCUAGUCUCCUUUGAAGUGGGAAAGCAUUCUCUCUCAUAGGCAAGUCACACUGCAUUGCCGAAGUCCAGCUUUCUGCAGACUGGCAGUCGCACACACAUUUGGAAUGCACACAGCGACUGCCUCCUGACGUUUGUAUCAUAGUCGUAUUGUCAAAGAGUAGCCGAUUUUAGAGUUCUUUUGGAUCAUAAACUGGAAAUACUGAUGGAAGCACACAAGUGGAGAGAAGUUGACGAGGAAAGGGUCUUCCUUCUCAUCGCUGCCUGUUUGUACAUGGGACUGAUUCUAUCGUGUUCACCAGAGAAAGCCUGAGGCCAUGGCGAGAUACUGCAUGUUUGCUGUUCCACAAAGCAGUGGCUCAGCUGCCAUCUUGCUUUUCUUUGGACAACAGGAACUGAACCUUAAGGAAGAGAGAAUUCUGUCCUAAAACUCCAAAAUCCGGCUUUUUUUUUUUUCUUUUGGUUUGGUUUGGUUUUGGAAAACUAACUAAUUAGACUUGUGUGGGGUUUUUUUGUUUUGUUUUGUUUUUUGUUUUUUUUGAGACGGAGUCUCGCUCCAUCACCCAGGCUGGGGUGCAGUGGCGCAAUCUUGCUUUCCUGCAGUUUCCGCCUCCCGGGUUCAAGCAAUUCUCCUGCCUCAGCCUCCCGAGUAGCUGGGAUUACAGGCGCGCACACCACGCCCAACUAAUUUUUGUAUUUUUAGUAGAGACGGGGUUUCAUCAUGUUGGCCAGGCUGGUGUCGAGCUCCUGACUUCAGGUGAUCCACCUGCCUCAGCCCCCCAGCGUGCUGGUAUUACAGCCAUGAGCCGCUGCGCCUGGCCUAGACUUGUGUGUUCUAAACAGGUUAAGUAGCAGGUUGGGUUUUUAUGAUAGUGCAAGGAAUGACACAUGCCUCUGAGCUUCUAAACUGAAGCUGCUGUAACUAAAGGAAUCUGAAAAGAACAACCCUGAAGCAGAGGCCUUUAUUGUCUUGGUUGCCAGUAGUAGUUUGUUUUGCCAUGUAGCAGAAAACACACAAAAUAAUGCAGCUGUGGUGUGCCAUGCUAUGUGCACAGCCCCUUGGAUUACUUUGUUUUAAAAAGCAUCAGAGUUGGGGGGUACUUUAGGGAAACCUUUGCUUACCUUGUUUGCCAGUGAUAAGAGCAGUGGGUUGGAGGGCAGUUGGCCAGUUUUCUGUUCAGCUUUUCAGUGAAUGUACCCCUUUAAGGUUAAGACUUAAAUUCCCCUAAAAAGUGGGGUUGUUCAUAGAAUCACUGGACUCAUUAAGGAAUCGUUAAAUUCCACUCACUGAAGCCCAGACCUCCGUACCCAGGCCCAGUCUCAACAGGCUGCCAGAGAAAGUUGGUGCUGCUGAUACUGGUCUCACAGUCUAAGUAAGUGUCUGAUGCUCCCAAGCAGUGGAAAUGCAGGCUCUGGAAAUUGGUUAAUGUAUUUGAUGUCUUAGUGUUUUAGUGACUAGGGAGACCAUUAACCAGUUUAUCAUUAACCACUUAUCAGUGUAUUGAUGUUAAAGUAUUUCCCUGUUAGCUAAAAGAGGCCUGUUCAUACAAGCCAGCUGAUAUAUACGUGUGGUUCAUCCGUCAUCUGCUGCUCAUGGCAGACUAGAAUUCUGGGAACCCUGUGCAAUUCAGUCUGUUCUCCCUUCUGGGCCCUGGUAAAGACAAGCCUCAGCUUAUAGUGAACACAGCAGACCUAGAAAUGUAGCAACAGCCUAAUGAGUAACUGUCAUUUACUGAGUAUCUGCUGUGACUGUGGCCCCGUCUGGAGGUUCCUAGGUUUUGAGAUUUAGAACAAUGCCUUCUGGAGACAGAACCAGCAAAACAACCAUUUUUCAAUUUUUCUUUAAAUCAGUAUUCCAUUAGGCAGAUAACUGCCAUGUUCAUGAAUCUUGAGAGUGUUCCCUGUGACAGAAUUAAUGGUCAGUUGGGAAAACUAUCACCAUGGCUUCCCAUCUGUGGUUCUCCUCUAAAAUUCUUAGAGAUUAGCCCUUCCUUGCCAGUGAGAACGGUGGCUGCCUCCUGCUCUGCAUGGUCUGCGGCAGUUGCCGCUUCUGGUUAGGUGUGUCAGGUUGGCUUAUUUUGGGUUCAGGCCUGGUGUAGCACCCACAAGUGGCAGAUAUAUCACAGAGUCCCCAAACUCUGCCUAGAAACAGUGUUUCCCCUUUAGCCAGUGACCUGGUUCAUCCCUGCCCAAGUUGAGCCCUGAGUGGAGUUUCCGGCAGAGGGAAGAAUGUGCCUUGUUCAAGGAGGGCACAGACCCUUAAGCCUUUUUCAACCAGAUUUAGCUGAAGGACUUGACACCUUUGAAUUACAGCAGUUGACUUAGAGCGCAAGAAGUCUGUGGCCAUUUUGGAAAGCAAGGUUUCCUUUCAGCCCUGUCUACUGACCAAUACCCCGACUCACCUUGUGUGGUGCACUUCAGAAUCAGAUAUACCUAGAGUAUACCUGUGGUUUGGUUUUAUAAUUAAUCAGCUCAUUACUUCAGCCCAUGAAAAUGGCAUCCAGGGCUGUCAGGAGAUUCAGAGCUCAAAACAAGGCGAGCUUGAGUUCUGCACUCCUGAUAUGUGCCAAAAGUAAAACUUUUUGACUUACAACCUUGUCAGUUUUUUAAAUCAGGCAGGGAUAUUCUCUUUUUCACACUAAACAUAUGAAAGCAGCACCCAUGCCUCAGCUCAGCUUCGUGCCUGGGUUCCCCACUGGCCUGGGAAGACAGUUGUGCUCCAUAGAGCAGUGCAAAUCUGACCCAGAGGGUGGGUGUUCAUAACUGCUCCUUGCUCUGCUCUACCAUGUUUUAAGAAAUAUUUGGAUGUUAAAUUAACUCAUUAUGGUUUUUCACCUGGGAAGGAAACAAAUUACAUACUAGAGGGCAUUGACUGGUUAUAAACUUGUAUAUUCUGGGAAGGACCUGCGGUACAGGAGUCAGCCAUGUCUGUGCUGUGUGGAACCACCUGACGACAUGGUUAACGAGGAAGAUGAUGUGUUGACCGGCUGCCGUUUGAGGACUUUGGUCACCCAGACUAGACACCUUCUGUGCUCAUGUUUGGAAAGCUGAAAGGGAAGGACAGCUGUGCCCUCCUGGGAGCUCACGUGUCCCUGGCACUGUGCUAGCUUUCCUUUACAGCUGUUUACAGACAAGGCAGGCCUGAGGAGGAUGGCCACUGCUCUUGUGAUGUUUGCUCAGAGGAAUAUGAACAUUUUAUUUUUGAAAAGGGAUGAUGUGGUUUUGUGCCAGGUGUUUAUAAUUUAAUCCUUUAAUAUUAUGGUUAUUAACCUCUUAAACGUGAAAGAAUUCUUGAUUGUUUUAACACAGUACCUAAGACUAAUGCUUUCUGUGGACACCACUGAGCUCUGCCUCAACUCCACCCUCUGGGACCGGAGAACUAUGCCCCUGGAAACUGCUGUCGGUGUGGACACUGUGCUGGUUCUAUUUUCUAAAGGAGUAGACAGGUCUCUGAGACAGGAUCGUUGUCCCUACAGGAGGAACAGUGGCCUUGCUUCUUAGACGGUCUUCACUGUGUGUUUUAAAACAAAAACAACAACAACACCGUAAAACUCUUUUGACCUGUAAUUUAAAGAUCAUAAACUUCAGGCAAUAAUAUUUUCUGUGUAAGCUUUUAAAAUUAUUUUUGGGGAUCAUAGCUUGUUUUAUUUUGUGCUAUAAAAUUAACAGUAUUAAAUGACUUAUAUUCUUAGAACACAUUGAGUGUCUUUUCUUAACAGAUUAGUGCCUUUUUAUUUUUGUAUUCCGUUUUACGUUACUGGUCCCAGCAUCAAAACCCUUGUUUCCAUGGCCUGUUUGUAUAUUGUCUCAAUAAAACUUGCAUCAGCCGGUGGUGGCGGCA